AACGAACGCUGGCGGCAGGCCUAACACAUGCAAGUCGAGCGCCCUUUUCGGGGUGCGGCGGACGGGUGUGUAUCGCGUGUGAAUAUGUGCUUUUCUACUGGAUAUCCCCCGGAAACUCUUAUUCUUAUCGUAUAUGUCCCCUUGGGGAAAGAUUUAUGUCGGCAGUAUUAGCCCGCGUUGGUUUAUGUCUUUUUUAUGGUAAUGGUCUACCAAGGCGACGAUCAGUAGCUGGUUUGAGAGGAUGAUCAGCCACAGUGGGACUGAGACACGGCCCAAACUCCUACGGGAAGCAGCAGUGGGGAAUCUUGCACAAUGGGGGAAAGCCUGACGUAGCCAUGCCGCGUGAAUGAUGAAGGUCUUAGGAUUGUAAAAUUCUUUCAGCGGGGAAGAUAAUGACGGUACCAGCAGAAGAAGCCCCGGCUAACUCCGUG
rnacentral:rRNA from 1 species